AAACUCUUUUUAUUAAUGUCGUCUGAGUACUAUAUAAUAGUUAAAACUUUCAACAACGGAUCUCUUGGUUCUGGCAUCGAUGAAGAACGCAGCGAAAUGCGAUAAGUAAUGUGAAUUGCAGAAUUCAGUGAAUCAUCGAAUCUUUGAACGCACAUUGCGCCCCUUGGUAUUCCGGGGGGCAUGCCUGUUCGAGCGUCAU
rnacentral:rRNA from 1 species